AUUUUGUCGUACUUUUUGAUUAAGUGCAUGGCGCAUAGCCGACCAACUCCGGACAUCGGGGCUGAACGGCCGAAUCGAGCCCAGAAUGUCGCAUUGAAAGAGGUCAAUCACCAGCGUCGCGAUUGCGCCUUGGAUGUCACUCGUGUAAUUGAGCGCAAUUUAUUUUAUUUGCUAACGAUUUUACGAUUUCGGUUAAUUAACUCUCAAAAAGCAGAAAGCCACCUAGUUGACAGAGCUACCGGUCCACCUAUGGAACCACAUCCACAUAGUGUACCCUGACCAAAGUAUAUGCUUAUAGAAUGAUUUGUAUUUGUGCAUGACUGACUCAGCCCGAGCAAUCGGCCAGAAAAGUAUGGGUUGCAAAUAAAAAGCGCAUAAUAGGCGUUUAAAUGCAAUUUUCUCCGCAAAAUGGUCGGCCGAAAUAUCAAAAAUUCGAAUUAUAUGUUUUGCAGCAUGUUGAUUAGAAUGAAAUAUGUGUGUGCGGAGGGUCGGUCAGCAGAAGCAAAAAACCAAGUCGACAAGCCGCACAGAAGUCCUCUCCCUUCUAGAAGAAAUAUUUGGGUAGCAUCUCACAUCCGAUGAGUCGGACAAGUCCAAGUCAAAGUCGGACUGCUUGUUCUUUUUCAGCACGGAGAAAAAUCAAAGUAAGCUCGGGAUGGAUGGAACUCUGGUCAAUAAUUUUGUGAGGGUGCCGCCAAAAGGGCAGAAGACGCUGCUCUAACUUUUUUUUUUCAUAUUUGCCCUGGUCUUUGUUUGAAAUAGAUUAUUGGCAAUACAUAUGUAUACAAAUAUUUUUAUUUCGUCUGGCGACGAGAGUUCAAGGAUUUUUAUUGGGUUCAGUGAACCAAAUGUCUUUCCUCCGGCCGGAAAUAUCGUAUUCGCUUUAAUUAUGGCCCCUCGUACAACUUAUUAAUAUAAGUUUGAUGAAAAGUGAAACACAAUGGGCACACACAGAUGUCAUCAUCUGCUGGAAAGCGCUGAAUAGUGCCAGUCAACCCAACGAAAUCAAUAUCCGCCUGUCGUAAGUGUGCUCCCUAAUGACUAUGGGCGUGGCAUUUAGGGGCUAAAGGUGGAGAAAGGGCAGAAAGGGUAAAAAGUGAGUUGAGGUAACCCGAGUACCCGACGAAAGUGAAG